GGUUUACCAAAAGACAUAUCUCUUUUUGAUAUUUGUAAUAUUUGAAAAAUUAGUUGUCAAAGUACAUAGAAAAAGCAUACGAGGCUAUCUCUCUUUCUUCCAACUCUCUCUUUUUCUCUUUCUACUUCAUCUCUCUCUUAUUUUCUAAUAUCAUCUUUUGAAUUUUGAAUUUACAUGUUAAUGCAAGGACAAGCAAUGGAGAAGAAGAACAACCUUCUUGGGCUCUAUUACAAUGUUCUUGACCUUUGAAUGGAGAAAAGAUCCAAAGAUGUAGAUUUCCAAACAUCUUCAAGACAAGAAAAUAAAAUUAGAAAGAUGCAGAAUAAAAACGGGUUUUAAAGUUGUGCAAAACUGUACAAUAGUACCGAGCUAUGUACAAAAAGUUUUGGCGUGGAAAAUUCAACUAACAGAGAUGUACUACAACAGUAAGAAGCUGUACGGGUUUACAUUUAGAAAUAAUUUGACACAAGUAUUCUUGGCCGGUGCGGAUCAAAAUUUUGAACUCAUCCCAUCGACACACCCGCCCAAAUACAUAUAACUUAAUAUAAAAAUAACAUAUUAUACUCAUGACUUUACUCUUGUACAAUUUCUUUAAAGUAGAUAGGAUAGACACUAUUUUAGACAAUUGAUGUUAUGCACCUUUAUUGGGUAAUGAUGUACAGCUUUUUUGGGAUAUAAAUUUUAUUUAUUAAUAUUAAUUAAAACAUGAUAAGUUACACAACUAUAAAUAUUCAUUAUUUUAUUUAAAACAACUGUUUCAAAAACAUACAUUAUUUUUUGGAACAUAUAUUACGGGAUAACUUAUAUUAUCCAUUUUUGGCAACAAAUCACCAACUU